rnacentral:snoRNA from 1 species
UUCACAAUGUCUAUCGAAGAAUCUCAUCACCUAGAGCUGUGAUCAUGCCCUUUAAAGUGAAUUUGGAGGUUUUAUACCC